GGAAUAAAAAAAAAACGAAUGAAAAUAAAAAGUGGGGAAUAAAAAGACGAUGAGAAAAUUCCACUCCUCUGUGAAUAUUGUAUACGCGCUGUAUCGUUGAAUUACCGAAGAAUAAUAAAUAAUUAGAGUUUCCACGGCCAUCGACACGGUUAAUGAAAUCUCUUUCCACGAGGAUGUAAAAAAAAAAAGGGGGAAUGGAAAUUUCGUCGUUUUUCCUCUUUUUAAUUUCACCGGAUACAAUAUAAGCGAAAAAAAUAUACGAAACCGAUGGAAAUAUGAAAAGUGGCUCUGUUCAGCGAGUCUGAUACGAUUCUCGGUUAUUAGAAGCUCGAGGAAUUUUCAUAUUGUUGAGAGAAGUUUCGUGUUAUCCGAUAUUUCGGCUAUACGAGCCACGGAACGGUGAAAACUUGAGAGAUUUUGAAACGAGAUCUUGGAUGGAUUCCAAACACCCUUGGUUCGUGAUAGGCUCGUUUCGAAAAAUUUUAUCUCGACCGAGAAGGAUUCGAACAGAUCUGAUGAACCAUCAUCGCGUGAUAAGAAGUGGAUAAUCUUGUAUUUUUUUUUUUAGGGUAACUUUAUAUUCCAACAAAAGAACAAAGAAUAAUAAAA